GCGUCGGCAUAGCUCAGUGGUUACUUCGUGUUACUAAACAUGGUCACCUGCGAACCCUCGGGUUGCUGGUUCGACCACGGGCGCUGUCCGAUGUAUUU
rnacentral:vault_RNA from 1 species